rnacentral:rRNA from 1 species
UGGGGAAUUUUGGACAAUGGGCGAAAGCCUGAUCCAGCAAUGCCGCGUGUGUGAAGAGGGCCUUCGGGUUGUAAAGCACUUUUGUCCGGAAAGAAAUCCUUGGCUCUAAUACAGUCGGGGGAUGACGGUACCGGAAGAAUAAGCACCGGCUAACUACGUGCCAGCAGCCGCGGUAAUACGUAGGGUGCAAGCGUUAAUCGGAAUUACUGGGCGUAAAGCGUGCGCAGGCGGUUUGCUAAGACCGAUGUGAAAUCCCCGGGCUCAACCUGGGAACUGCAUUGGUGACUGGCAGGCUAGAGUAUGGCAGAGGGGGGUAGAAUUCCACGUGUAGCAGUGAAAUGCGUAGAGAUGUGGAGGAAUACCGAUGGCGAAGGCAGCCCCCUGGGCCAAUACUGACGCUCAUGCACGAAAGCGUGGGGAGCAAACAGGAUUAGAUACCCUGGUAGUCCACGCCCUAAACGAUGUCAACUAGUUGUUGGGGAUUCAUUCCUUAGUAACGUAGCUAACGCGUGAAGUUGACCGCCUGGGGAGUACGGUCGCAAGAUUAAAACUCAAAUGAAUUGACGGGGUCAUA